UACGGAGGGUGCAAGCGUUAUCCGGAUUCACUGGGUUUAAAGUGUGCGCAGGUGGCCGCGCAAGUCGAGUGUGAAAUCCCCGAGCUUAACUUGGGAAUUGCGCUCGAAACUACGUGGCUCGAGUGUGGCAGAGGAAGGUGGAAUUCCACGUGUAGCGGUGAAAUGCGUAGAGAUGUGGAGGAACACCGAUGGCGAAGGCAGCCUUCUGGGCCAACACUGACGCUCAUGCACGAAAGCGUGGGGAGCAAACAGG
rnacentral:rRNA from 1 species